rnacentral:rRNA from 1 species
UGAGGAAUAUUGCGCAAUGGGCGAAAGCCUGACGCAGCGACGCCGCGUGGAGGAUGAAGGUCUUCGGAUUGUAAACUUCUGUUAAGUGGGAAGAAAGCCCCUAUUCUAAUAAAGUAGGGUUAUGACGGUACCAUUAUAGAAAGCACCGGCUAACUUCGUGCCAGCAGCCGCGGUAAUACGAAGGGUGCAAGCGUUAUUCGGAUUGAUUGGGCGUAAAGGGUGCGCAGGCGGUAUGUUAAGUCAACUGUUAAAGUCUUCGGCUUAACCGAAGGUAUGCGGUAGAUACUGGCAAACUAGAGUAUGGAAGAGAGAAGUGGAAUUCUCGGAGUAGCGGUAAAAUGCGUAGAUCUCGAGAGGAACACCGAUGGCGAAGGCAGCUUCUUGGUCCAUUACUGACGCUCAGGCACGAAAGCGUGGGGAGCAAACAG